rnacentral:rRNA from 1 species
GGAUUAGAUACCCUGGUAGUCCACGCCGUAAACGAUGUCGACUUGGAGGUUGUUCCCUUGAGGGAGUGGCUUCCGGAGCUAACGNCGUUAAGUCGACCGCCUGGGGAGUACGGCCGCAAGGUUAAAACUCAAAUGAAUUGACGGGGGCCCGCACAAGCGGUGGAGCAUGUGGUUUAAUUCGAUGCAACGCGAAGAACCUUACCUACUCUUGACAUCCAGAGAACUUAGCAGAGAUGCUUUGGUGCCUUCGGGAACUCUGAGACAGGUGCUGCAUGGCUGUCGUCAGCUCGUGUUGUGAAAUGUUGGGUUAAGUCCCGCAACGAGCGCAACCCUUAUCCUUUGUUGCCAGCGAUUCGGUCGGGAACUCAAAGGAGACUGCCGGUGAUAAACCGGAGGAAGGUGGGGAUGACGUCAAGUCAUCAUGGCCCUUACGAGUAGGGCUACACACGUGCUACAAUGGCGCAUACAAAGAGAAGCGACCUCGCGAGAGCAAGCGGACCUCAUAAAGUGCGUCGUAGUCCGGAUCGGAGUCUGCAACUCGACUCCGUGAAGUCGGAAUCGCUAGUAAUCGUGGAUCAGAAUGCCACGGUGAAUACGUUCCCGGGCCUUGUACACACCGCCCGUCACACCAUGGGAGUGGGUUGCAAAAGAAGUAGGUAGCUUANCCUUCGGGAGGGCGCUA